GUGGCGCACGGGUGAGUAAUGUAUAGGUAACAUGCCUCUUACUAAGGGAUAACAAAUGGAAACGUUUGCUAAUACCUUAUACUCCUUAUUAACAGAAGUUAAUAAGGGAAAGAUUUAUUGGUAAGAGAUUAGCCUGUAUUGCAUCAGUUAGUUGGUGGGGUAAUGGCUUACCAAGACUAUGACACAUAACUGGUUUGAGAGGAUGAUCAGUCACACUGGAACUGAGACACGGUCCAGACUCCUACGGGAGGCAGCAGUGGGGAAUAUUGCACAAUGGACGAAAGUCUGAUGCAGCAACGCCGCGUGGAGGAUGACACAUUUCGGUGCGUAAACUCCUUUUAUAUGAGAAGAUAAUGACGGUAUUAUAUGAAUAAGCACCGGCUAACUCCGUGCCAGCAGCCGCGGUAAUACGGGGGGUGCAAGCGUUACUCGGAAUCACUGGGCGUAAAGAGUAUGUAGGCGGAUUAAUAAGUUUGAAGUGAAAUCCUAUA
rnacentral:rRNA from 1 species